rnacentral:rRNA from 1 species
ACGCUCGACACCUACGGGAGGCAGCAGUUGGGAAUAUUGGACAAUGGAGGAAACUCUGAUCCAGUGACGCCGCGUGAAGGAAGAAGGUCUUCGGAUUGUAAACUUAUUUUGUCAGGGAAGAAAAAAUGACUGUACCUGAGAAAAAGCACCGGCUAACUACGUGCCCGCAGCCGCGGUAAUCUGAGCGGGCUGGCAAGGC